rnacentral:rRNA from 1 species
AUUGAACGCUGGCGGCAGGCUUAACACAUGCAAGUCGAGCGCGUGGCGCACGGGUGAGUAAUGUCUGGGAAUCUGCCUGAUCGAGGGGGAUCACUUUUAGAAACGCUCUCUUACAUCGCAUACUCUCGGUACUCCCCAGAUGGGAUUAGCUAGUUGGUGGGGCAAGAGCUCACCUAGGCGACGAGCUCUAGCUGGUCUGAGAGGAUGACCAGCCACACUGGAACUGAGACACGGUCCAGACUCCUACGGGAGGGAGCAGUGGGGAAUAUUGCACAAUGUGCGCAAGCCGGAUGCAGCCAUGACGCGUGUAUGAAGAAGGCCUUCGGGUUGUAAAGUACUUUCAGCGGGGAGGCGUUACCCACAGAAGAAGCACCGGCUAACUCCGUGCCAGCAGCCGCGGUAAUUC